GAUGAACGCUAGCGGCAGGCUUAAUACAUGCAAGUCGAGGGGCAGCAUGACUGUAGCAAUACAGAAGCUGGCGACCGGCAAACGGGUGCGGAACACGUACGCAACCUUCCUUUAACUGGAAGAUAGCCCACCGAAAGGUGGAUUAAUACUCCAUAAUAUAUUGAAGAGGCAUCUUUUUGAUAUUAAAGCUCCGGCGGUUAAAGAUGGGCGUGCGUCUGAUUAGGUAGUUGGCGGGGUAACGGCCCACCAAGCCUUCGAUCAGUAGCUGAUGUGAGAGCAUGAUCAGCCACACGGGCACUGAGACACGGGCCCGACUCCUACGGGAGGCAGCAGUAAGGAAUAUUGGUCAAUGGACGCAAGUCUGAACCAGCCAUGCCGCGUGGAGGAUGAAGGCCCUCUGGGUUGUAAACUUCUUUUCUUUGGGACGAAACCCCUGUUUCUACGGGGACUGACGGUACCAGAGGAAUAAGCACCGGCUAACUCCGUGCCAGCCGCCGCGGUAAGAC
rnacentral:rRNA from 1 species